CUGGGUGUGAUGACCAUUUUACUCUUGAUAUUCAACUGUGAAGCUUUAUGUAUUCAUACUGUCUGACCCCA
ensembl:snoRNA small nucleolar RNA SNORD41